AACGGUACGAGGCCACGCGUCCAAACAUAACAACAGAACCGUUCUGUGGAUGGCAAUUACGAAACACAUAUGAAUUAAUUAUAUUUGCAUCCGAUGUGACGAGGGUUAAUGUGUUACAAACCAUUGUUGGAACCUCCAAACGCUCUCCACAAUCUCCACGCAUCAGUUUGCGUCGGAAGUAACUAGGCGAUAUAGAAAUUCAGAAAACGAAAUCCAAUUCGGGCUGCAUCAUCAAUUUCAGUCUCGAUAUUAAAUGUUCAUUUUGCGAGCUAGCGAAAAAUAAUCCACCACUCUGGCGAGAGAUCAAGCGAUGAAUAUAUAUGUACAAUGCACAUAUAUCCAAAUACUUUGGCUGACGGAAUAACUGUGCGACUGACUGACUGGCAGUCAGUUCAGUGGCAAGAUUUCAGCUUGCUCGGUCUACGAUACGAAAAUGUAUAUACAACAUUCCCGUAACUUUUCAUAGACGACAACACCAAAAACAAAUCAGCAGCGUACACUCACACACCACAUUUUGAACUCUGGAAUAUAUUACCAUCAUGAAAGCAAAUAUUUUUGUGAGUCACUUAAAAAUCCAGUUAAUAAAGAAAUCCAAACAUUAAAAAAAUUAUUGGAUUUUCCUUAUCCUAGUCUCUCAAUAUACUCUAAUUCUGGCUGAUGCUGCUGUUGUUUAUUGCACAGAAUGCUUAACGAAGCAUGCAAAAUGUGAUGGCAGUUACAGCAGCACCAUCCUACCUCGCUUUUACCUCCCUCGUUUUGGGGCAAAUUGCAGCAGAUGAUGGCAAGAUGCAAACCAGACUUGGCAUGUGCCAAAGGCAUUUGGGCAAUGCAGGUUAAAUAAGGCAUGACAUGGGCGUGGCAUGUGCAGCUUAUUAGUAAGAAGGGAGCGGUCUAGAGAAUAUGGGAAUGUAAUGGAAACUCCAGGGAAAUCUAGCUACACUUCACAUUUGAAUUAUCUUGA